CUGCAAACAAUCCGCCUACCCCAGACCGGCUCCGGGGGGCUGCUUUCAGUACCCCGGCAUCCUGCGAGCGACCCGCACGCCGCAACAGGAGAAGGCAGCUGGCCGACGGCCGAGCUCGUCAACGGCCCGCCCCGGCCGCGGGCUGGGGCAGGGACUGUGGCCGGGGCGGGGCGGGCCGGCAGAGGGAGCUCGGCUCCGUUCCGCUCCGCGGCUGUUCCCGCUGCCCGGCGCCCGCCCGCGCCGCUCCGGCACUUUGUUGGUAGCGCCGAGCCCCGCGCUCGGCCCCGCGGGGAGAGCCCCGCACCGCGCCCCGCACCGCGCCCCGCACCGCGCUCUCGGCCACCGGCGCGCCCCGUCCCUCCGCGCGGGAGGAGAACGCCCGCAAGGUGGAAUGUGUCAUCCCUCAGCAGAAUAGCUACAUUAGUCUCACAUGGAAGAAGGUAUGUGUACAGACUGAGUGCUCUAUCUUCGUUGUGCUGCUGUACUCAAAGUCAUCCUGUAUCUACAUUAAUUUCCUAUAAAGAACAAUUUAGAGCUUAGAAAUGCUGGCCUGAGCAUCAUUUUUCUGAAAUAACUUAAUGAAUUGGCAUGUAGCCUUGUCGUCUCAUGGUUGGUUGAGGUCCUGAGGCAAUAUUUAGUGCAAUAGAAUAAGCGGUGCUCUGGUUAACACAAUCAACUCUUAUGCAGAAAGAUGCAUUUAUGACUUUCAAGAGAAAGAGUCUUUUCACUGCACAUUUAGCUAUUAUUUUGCUAAUUCCUUACGGAGAUUUGGAAACUGCCGCAUCUUUUUCUUUUGGAUUGGAAAGUGCUUAGUAUGCUCUUUCUGAAGGGCCCAGAAUUUGAACCCACAGUGCUUACAUGAGGAUUAACUUUCUUAAGGACUUGAGGGUCCCCACAGAGUUACCUGAGCCCUUUAAUCAAAGAUUGAAUUUUCAGCUUAAUGUAGUACUUACAUUUGUCCAAUUCCAGGGAGGCUGGUAAAUUAAUCUUAAUUAAAUUUAAGGAGGAAGGAACCUAAAGAAAAAAAGGAAAUAUUGUAGAGUUUAAAGGUUUGAAGGAUCAUUAUACAACUGGACCAUUACUUUUUCCAGGUAAAAUGUGAGUAUAUUUUGUAUUUAUUUUUCUGAAAAUGCAUUUAAUCAUUUUAGACCAAUGCUAGACCUUCAAUACUGCACUGACUAUUGUGCUUUUGUCUUCAUGGGAAGAGUGGUUUUCAUAUUGAUAGGUUGAAAGCUCAUUUAAUAAGCCUAUCUUGUCAUACUGGGAUAAACUGUUAGAGUCAAAUUGGUAGCAUUAAAAGUAACAUUAAUAUCAGAGACAAAAUUAAUAGUGGAUGAUUCCGUAUGCCAUAAACAGUCGAAGUUAAAAGUGAUAAAGGUGGUGGCCAUUUUUAUGUAUGAGUAUUUUUUGUAUGCAUUCUUAAGUUGACUUAAAAAUUCUGUUAAAUUCCUGGGCUAAGAGCACUCAGAUGUGGGACCGUGCAGAAUUAUUAAAUCUCCUGAGAGUACCUGCCUUUUAAUAAAACAGACACCAGUUAAACA
rnacentral:lncRNA from 1 species